AAGAAGUGAUGAGAUGAAGUAAGUUAUGAAAAGAAGCGACGAGAUCUCAUCACUUCUUUUCAUAACUUACUUCAUCUCGUCACUUCUUUUC
rnacentral:pre_miRNA from 1 species